UAUGGAGCCAGAUUCAUGCAACAUGGAUAUUUGGAACAAUAAGAAGUUUAAGUAGGCGUAGGCUUUUGAGAGUUGAGUUUCAGUUGGUUUCUACAAAAUCAUCCAGGCCACGCUAAACGGGAUCAUGCAUAUUUGAAAGAGAAUAUUCCUAUUAUUUUGCAACUUACGACGGCAAUCUUAGGGCUACUGGUGAAAUAUAAAUACAGAGGCAGUUGCAGCAAGUAAAGCGCCUCUAA
rnacentral:lncRNA from 1 species